UCUAAUCACUCCUAUAAGUUGCUCUGGAUAAGAGCGUCUGCUAAAUGACAAAAA
rfam:Salmo salar isolate Sally breed double haploid chromosome ssa28, whole genome shotgun sequence.